ACCGACCGGUUUCUGUUCCUUUGUGAUCCCUGUCCCCACGGAAGCAGUAAGCCGCGGGGUGAGGAGCCACAGAGGCUGCAGUGACACCUUGUGGCGAGGAGGGGGAACAAGUGGCCCAAUGCGCUCACCUUUACCGACGCAUCAGGAUGGCCUAGUAAUGGUAAGAGACAGAGAGAGACCAUCCCAGGUUCAAGCAUCCGCCCUGCUGAAGUGUCCUUGAACAAGACACCGAGUCCCUGCCAGCUGACUCGGCUUCUCCAGGGAAAGCAAAUGGAGAAUUUUCCCAUGGGAAUCAACAAGUUUUACAGCCCCAUUCUGGCUCCACGAUGUUCCAUAUCCUGUGGUUCUUCGCCGUUUGACCGAGGUCCGCGGAUGAAGGCCUGACCUGAUCUCAUAACGUGUUACGCCAAGACCUCAACACCGUGAUGUAGAGGCUGAGCUGAGGAUACUGGCUAUUCUCCUCAAAAACAAAACAAAAACAUCUGCAAUAGCCCUCGGUGAACCGCUGCUGUAGCGAGUCAAGGCAGAGCCAUGUUUGAAGUGGCUCGAAGUCAUCUGAAGUUAUUUGGUUUAAUGACAUUAGCAUCUGCCGCCUCCAAUUGUUAGCCACAGUCUUCUCUGAUCCAAUUACUAUAAUGUAUAUUUCAUCGGGAUUGCUUAAUGUUUUUGUAGUUUAACGUCACCCUCUGCU